GCUAUCCUAGUUUAAAAAAAAUGUUUCUUUGUGGAAGAAAAGAUAACAAAUUGUUGGUUAGUA
rnacentral:tRNA from 1 species